rnacentral:lncRNA from 1 species
AUUAUUUUAAUUAUAUUUUAAAAUUAAAAAAAAAAAAAAAAAUCCCCUCUUCCAUUCUCUUCUCUAGCAAGAAGAUGAACUCCCCCCCUCGCCUCCCCCCCCUCCCCUCUUCCAUUCUCUUCUCUAGCAAGAAGAUGAACUUUUCAAAAAAAAAUAAAAAAUUGGUCCGAAUUAAAGAAGGCAAAUUGGAAAUUGAUGAAUUAAAGAAGGAAAAUUGAUUUGCGUUUUGGCUGAUUUGUAGUUGGAUCAAGAAGACGAAGAGGAAGAAGAUAAGAAGACGACGAUAACUUUAUGAAGUGGAAGAAGAUAAGAAGACGACGAUGACUUUAAGGAAUAAUCAAAGAGAACAAGAAAGAAGAAGUGGAUGAUGAUUCAUAUGCUGAUAGAAAUAGAUCGGUGAGAUCAUCAAUCAAUCCUGAUUACGAUUCAGACUAAUGAGUAAGAAAUUAGCCAUAUUGAUUUCUCUCCAAUCAAACGAGUAUAUUGACAUUUUUCUUUUGCUGAAUCUUCCACAUCUUGGGAUAUCUCUCUCUGUUAUCUAAUAGAAAGUCUCUUCAUUGUUGAGAUGAUAAUUGGUAAAGAUUGAAUGUUGUGGCAGAAAUAGUAUUAUAUGUUGUAAUAGUAGUUCAAGAAAAACAAAAGACUUUAUGGAGUGGAACCAAGAAACGUAUAGGACUCAACAUUAAUUGAAUGAAGGAUUCUUAUUUCAAUCAGAGUAAAUUUAAUUGUGGUCAAUCUUGACAUGCCAAAUUAUUGCAUCACACCUGAAUUGAAGUUCAAUUAUAUCAUAUCACAAAAUAACAGUGCACUUUUACCUGCUAUGGGGGUGUUGUGAAGAAGACAAUGAAGAGGGACGGGGUAAAGAAGACGAUGGGGGUGGGGUGGGUGUGAAGAAGACAACGAAGGGAGGGGGGCUUUCUUUUAAAAACUAAAAAUAAUUAACAAGUUAUAAUAAUUAAAAUUAAUAAAAUAAUUUAAAUAUAGGUUUUUAAUUAAAAAAAUAUUAUUCAUUCUAUUAUUAAUAAAAAUUUGGGCCUUCAAUGCCACUUGACACAAUUUCAUUAGUUAAUUAUUCAAAAAAAAAAACGUGUCUCACGCGCCUCUAGUGAGUGGACAACACGCGGAGAGCCACGUAGGUAAAAAAGACCUGAUUGGAUCAAAUUCGAGUGGUUUAGGGGCCUGAUAGGUACAGGUUUUAGUUGAGGGGUCUAAAUAAAUUUUCAUAACAACUUUGAG